UUAAUUGAAGAGUUUGAUCAUGGCUCAGAUUGAACGCUGGCGGCAGGCCUAACACAUGCAAGUCGAGCGGUAGCACAAGAGAGCUUGCUCUCUGGGUGACGAGCGGCGGACGGGUGAGUAAUGUCUGGGAAACUGCCUGAUGGAGGGGGAUAACUACUGGAAACGGUAGCUAAUACCGCAU
rnacentral:rRNA from 2 species